UCUUUCGAUAGCUCAAUUGGUAGAGCUGGGGACUGUAGAUUUAUAAUUGUGAUCCCUAGGUCGCUGGUUCGAAUCCGGCUCGAAGAA
rnacentral:tRNA from 1 species